AUGGACUCGUGGACCAAAGAUUACCUCCACUACCCCUUCCACGGUCACACCUACCAUCUAAAGGAUAACCUUGGUCAUUGCCAAAGUAUGUCACGUGGGGCCAACAUCAAGCAGGUCCCAGCAGCAACCAAUGAAGGACAAAAUACCAAUGUGAAAAAAAUUAGCGAGGGCGAAUCGCGCGGGACUGCAAAUCUCCAGUCCCACCUAAUCCGCCCUGCCCGUCCUCUUUGCGCCGCCCCUCCCGUCGCCGCCGCCCCGCAUCCUCACCUUCCUACCCCUCCUCGAGCCUCCUGCAUCGCAUACUCGCACGUCGCCGUCCAGAUCCGUCCAAGAUGGGACGGCGCACCGGUGACACUGGUCUCAGGUGAGGAAGGCGGCAUUGGUGGCCUUCAUCGAGGCCAAGAACUCAUGGGGCUUCCGAUCUCCAUCAGACCUAUCUGUGAUGGAGUACGGUCAGUACAAAUUCGUUUUUUCUGGCUAUUCCAUCUGCGGAUGCGUGCAUAUUAUUAUUGUCACGUAGCUGCAGGCUUUCGAUCUCUGUUUUCCUCUGAUGUUGUGCUGCUAGGCUUGUCCUUGGUGGGGCAAUGCUCUUCGGAGCAGCAAUGCGAAUUUGUUGGAAUAUAUGGAGCAGGUCGCCACUCGACCUCCAUUCCCGGAUGUCAAGACGAGUCUGCAUUUAAGCAACUAGGUCUGAAAUCUGAAAAUCAGGUUUCACCAACAAGUAUGAAUGCCAUCGCUGAAGUUUGUAGGCCAUUUUGUUGCCAUUUCUCACUAUCUUCCAAAUCCUUCAAAUUUGCAGGUGCAGGAUAUGCAGGUUUAUUGUUCUCUGUAUUUAAGUUGGUUGUUCCAUCACCAGUAGGAACAGUUGGAACUCACAAAUUCUCCAUGACACUUGUGGUUAGGAGAUAUUAUAAUGAUGUGAAGGAUUGUUGGUUCAAUGAGAAUUUUCAGGAGGUGGCAAAAGUUGUGAUCGACACGGACAACAAGGGCAAGGAGGUUGGGCCGACCAUGCCAAAGGAGAUGGCCACGAAUGAGGACGUGGUGCCGGAGGAGCACCCUUGCAGCAAGCGCUGUAACUACGGCCACUACCAUGAGGAGGGAGGUCCAACCCACUUAUGCAAGGGUUGGGCCCCCUUCGUCGCAGUCCAUCAUAUCAGAAUUGGCUACAUGGUUACGUUCAAGCUGCUCACUCCCGGCACUGAAGUGGUGACCAAGUGCGGCAAGCAUGACGACGCCUUCGCCGUGAACAUCUAG
rnacentral:rRNA from 1 species